rnacentral:sRNA from 1 species
AAUCCAUAGAGCUAGGUGCGCGUGACGC